rnacentral:misc_RNA from 1 species
GUUUCUAACUUUUGACAUUUGAAGUUGUUGUCUUUGUCAUUUUUUGUAAAAAGUGGAUGAGUUAUGGUAGCCUUGGAACAAUCGUAAAGUUGUCGUCUUGUGAUCAGGGGGAGGAUGGUGUUCACUAUAUAUGUAUAGGAUAACUUUUUGAUUUUUGUUUAUGUUUUUGGUCAGCCUAGCAGGAAGUAUCUAUGGGUAAGUUUCAUGUUGCUAACCUUUUGAUAUUCAAAGUUGUCG